CACUCCCCACAGGCUACUCCAUUCUGGCCCUAUUUAUCCUCAUCUCCCCAAAGCUCCUGCACCCUGCCUUUCUCCUCCCGACCUCCCCCUCGUUCUAGUCCCAGCUUCCCUCUGCCUCCACUUCACCCUAUUAAGAAACAACCGCCCCACAGAAGCCUCUGCCCCUGGCGGCAGCUCCCUGAGCCCCGCCCGCCCUCCCUCCUCCUGCAACUGCUCCUCUCCCUGACAGAUGCCUCAGAGCCCCGGGCCGCAGUUAAGGUGACGAGAUGCAGCAAUUCUUUAUGAACAUUUCAUUCCUGCUCGCUACACGACGUAAAUUAGAUGGUGUGUUACAUUCGGGCAAUAAGAGAGAUAUGUCACCACGACGCUGGCCCAUUGGAUGGAGAGGGGGUUUGGCGAAGAGCGGAAAGGAUUUCACCCUGAUGUGCACACUACUGAGUGACCCCGCUCACCAGCGGCUCCGCUGAUUGCUUUGUACCUUGCAGACUUCCAUACUGGCUCAGCCUCUUGCCGGCCUCGCUCCCUCCGGGUCUCCAGCCCACCCCGCCCCUGCCUGGCUUUCUCUUGAAGCCAAAGCCAAGAGACCUACCAGAGGAGUCACAAAGGUCAUGAAGGGAUGUCUCUGUGGGGAGGAGCAAGGCGGCAGAGCAA
rnacentral:lncRNA from 1 species